rnacentral:rRNA from 1 species
CACUCCUGCGGGAGGCAGCAGUGGGGAAUAUUGGACAAUGGGCGCAAGCCUGAUCCAGCCAUGCCGCGUGAGUGAUGAAGGCCCUAGGGUUGUAAAGCUCUUUCACCGGUGAAGAUAAUGACGGUAACCGGAGAAGAAGCCCCGGCUAACUUCGUGCCAGCAGCCGCGGUAAUACGAAGGGGGCUAGCGUUGUUCGGAUUUACUGGGCGUAAAGCGCACGUAGGCGGACUAUUAAGUCAGGGGUGAAAUCCCGGGGCUCAACCCCGGAACUGCCUUUGAUACUGGUAGUCUUGAGUUCGAGAGAGGUGAGUGGAAUUCCGAGUGUAGAGGUGAAAUUCGUAGAUAUUCGGAGGAACACCAGUGGCGAAGGCGGCUCACUGGCUCGAUACUGACGCUGAUGUGCGAAAGCGUGGGGAGCAAACAGGAUUAGAUACCCUUGUAGUCCCAUG